GUCGUCGCUAAAAUAUUUAAACGUCAAAUCAAAGCAAAGGAAAAAUUAAGUUAUAAAGAUAAUUUUAUUUUAUAAAUUAAAUGCUUAAAGUGAUUUAAGAAAAAAAUGGCUAGCGUCGGUUUUAGAUGGCUUGAUAUUCUAGAGAAAGAGUUCGACAAAGCUUUUGUGGAUUUGGAUUUAGCUCUGGGAGAAAUUGAUGGGGAGGAGGCCAAUAUAGUUUUUAAUGUCCGACAGAAAUUGUGCACUCUAGGAUCAUGUUUUGCCCAGCUGUCCCAUAAGGCCCAAACCAUUUUUCAGAAUAGUGCAAAAUUAGAGGCUGAACUUAUACAUCUGCGUGCAGAACUUGUCGAGUCCAAAUCCAAAAAAGAACUUUUAGAGAACGAGUUGCACAACUUACUUCUUCAGCUUCAUUCUUCGCAACUGUCACAACUUCCGGACAGCUUGAACAACAAAAAAUCAGAUCAGUAUUUUAAACCGGAUGUGAACGCUAUCAAGAAGCGUCUUGAAGCGGAAAUGAGACAGAGCCCUCUACGUAUACGCAGAAGCAUGAGUACUGAUGCUAAGGAAAAAGAUCCUGAACUCAAAUUCAGUACAACCUUGCUGGAACCAAUCCAGAACAAGAUAGAGAACGCCCAGUUACUUGCCGAGAAUACCGCGCUAAGAAAUGACAUUCUGGCUUUGACAGCUGAAGUAUAUGGAGCAAAAUUAGCGGCCAAGUACUUGGAUAAGGAAUUGGCAGGGAGGAUACAGCAGUUACAACUUUUAGGUAGGGAAAUGCGUGGUGAGGUUAGAGAUAAGCUGUGGGGUCAGUUAGAAUCGGAAAUUCUGCUUCAGAGACAUAAGACUGUGGUACGAGCUUGUAGACGGAACAGUUCCUUGCACAACAACCAGGACAAGUGUCCGAAACCACCGAUUGAGUCAAACGGUGGUACUGCUCAUUUUGGCGAUAUAAGGAUAGUGGUUGUGAAGAGAAAACCUGAGCAGGGUCUAGGCAUUAGUAUAACGGGCGGUAGGGAACACGGAGUACCGAUUCUCAUAUCAGAAUUGGAGCCCAACGGACCCGCUUCCGUAUCAGAACAGCUGUACAUAGGGGACGCCAUCUUGUAUGUUAAUGACAUUGACAUAAGGAACGCCACUCACAAGGAGGCCGUGUCGAUACUGCAACAGCAGAGCGGAGAUUGCGUGUUGCAAGUUCAGUACAUUGCUGCGGAUGAUAGCGAUAAUUCUUUGGAAGAGGAUGGCUUAAAUUUCAGAUUCUUCAACGAAGAAGUUUGUGAAUCAAGCAAUUCCAGUUUACUGAAAGGAUCACAAGAAAUAGUGAACACGCCUACAGCACCUAGAACACCUGAAUCAGUGAGCAGGUUAUCUCGAUCAAGCGCAAGGAACAGCAAAGAAAACCUAACCUCCACCAGCGUUUUAGACCUGACAGAAAACGGAAACAUAACUGUCAAAGCACCACCGGAUGACAUGACAGAUUUGCACACGUCCAACAACAACACUCUGCUAGAUAACCUCACAAAAUUCAAUGACACACUUGCAAACGUCGAUACGAGCGAACUAGUGCUUUUAGACAACGCAACCAACAACAUUAUCAAGUUGGGAGAGUUCAAAAAAGUCGACGUUUUUGCUACGAUCGAAAGCAACUUUAAUUGCUCAGCUAACUCGCUUAUUUCGGAUAACUUGUCUUCCCCUAUGCAAACCAGCACCGAUGUGUAUCUGGAUUCGGAGAUACUAUCCACGGAUAUCGCUUCAAACGAUUCGCAAUCACCGAAAAACCUUCAGACAGACGUAACAAAGAACAGCUCUUCAUUUAACUACGAAACCAGUCUUAUUGAGGUCGAAAAAUUAAACAAACCAUCUUUGUACGUCUCGAAUGAAUCAAUUUCUGAAACUAAGAGCGAUCAAAGUUUGUUAAACUCAGACGAGAGUUGUAGUAGUUCACCUGUACACCUAAAAAACCGGAACUACAAGAAACAGAAAAAAGUUAAGAAGAAAUAUUUCGGUGUUAAGACACUUCAGAGCAUUUUCAGUAAAAACGAUGGGUACUCCGACAUAUCCACUACAGCCAGUGAAAUAGGAGACGACUUUCCUAGACAACGUAUAGAAAAAACUACCGAAGCGACAUCUACCUCAGUUGACCCACCACCAAAACCAACUAAAAAUACAGUUUUCUGUCCCGACACUAGUCCCCAAUUUGAGGAAAACAUCCACAACAUCCUUACAGAUAUUUUCUUGAAAAGUCAAAUCGAAACUGCUGCAGCUAUAAAUUCAACCAAGCAAUCCAAACCAAAAAAUCUCGGACCUUCAAAGAAGUAUUUCUCGUUACACGGUCAAAAUCUGAGGGUUAGUAAAGCAUUGAGGUUAUGUCCCAAUGAGGAACUAACCGAAGGCACUGAGAACGAUCAAAGAAGAGAGAAAUUGUUAGCUAGAUAUGUUUAUAAUGCGAAUUCUGUUAAUGUAGAUGGCGUGGGGGAUCCUGAUUUUGGUACCCCUGUAUAGAUGGCGUGAUGCACUAGAGCUUACUGCGCGCACGCGCAUUAAACGUUGAAUUUAACCGAUUAAAACUAAAUGAAAGGAUAGUGCACAAACAUAAAGGAGGUAUAUUUUUUAAAUUAAAAAAGAAUUCUAGCCAGUAUAUCAUGUAACUAGGUAACAUCAGAAGAUUGGUAGGUAGAUAGUUUGGUGUAUAUAUAUUUAAAGAAAAAUGUAAGUAUAUAUACAAAAUAAAUGUGUAAUAGCUAGGUUUUUUAGCAAAAGUAUUGAACAUAAUAAUUCUGUCGGGCUAGUUACUAUAAAUAUAUCUCAAAUAGUGUCUAUAUCUUGAUCUGUGACAGUUUCAUCAAUAAGAAACAUAAAAAAAAGGUUAGUAAAAAAAGAAAAGUAUAUAGACAGUAUAUGAAUGAUAUAAGGAUGUUCUUAAACAUUACUAUAAUAUAUUCCUGUUACUUAGGACUCUGUAAAUUCUUAUAGUGAAGAGACAAACAUUCUCAGGUGGUAGAUAACCCUAUCCCUAUAUAAAUUUGCACAAUUAUUAUGUAAGAGUCCAUUCACACUAUCUAUUACUGUUUUAUUUUUAUUAAUUAAAUGAAAAAAAUGUGUCGAAGUGAAACUUCUUACUAGCAGC